rnacentral:rRNA from 1 species
AGUGAACGCUGGCGGUAGGCCUAACACAUGCAGGUCGAACGGCAGCACAGUAAGAGCUUGCUCUUACGGGUGGCGAGUGGCGGACGGGUGAGGAAUACUUCGGAAUCUACUUUUUCGUGGGGGAUAACGUAGGGAAACUUACGCUAAUACCGCAUACGACCUACGGGUGAAAGCAGGGGAUCUUCGGACCUUGCGCGAUUGAAUGAGCCGAUGUCGGAUUAGCUAGUUGGCGGGGUAAAGGCCCACCAAGGCGACGAUCCGUAGCUGGUCUGAGAGGAUGAUCAGCCACACUGGAACUGAGACACGGUCCAGACUCCUACGGGAGGCAGCAGUGGGGAAUAUUGGACAAUGGGCGCAAGCCUGAUCCAGCCAUACCGCGUGGGUGAAGAAGGCCUUCGGGUUGUAAAGCCCUUUUGUUGGGAAAGAAAAGCAGCAGGUUAAUACCCCGCUGUUCUGACGGUACCCAAAGAAUAAGCACCGGCUAACUUCGUG